AGCAGCCGCGGUAAUUCCAGCUCCAAUAGCGUAUAUUAAAGUUGUUGCAGUUAAAAAGCUCGUAGUUGAAUUUCGGGAUCAAUACGUCGGUCGUGCUUCGGUACGUACUGGCGUCAUUGAUUUCUCCCUUCUGACGAACCAUGAUGUCAUUAACUUGGUGUCAUGGGAAAUCAGGACUGUUACUUUGAAAAAAUUAGAGUGUUUAAAGCAGGCUUUAGCUUGAAUACAUUAGCAUGGAAUAAUGAAAUAGGACGUUUGAUCCUAUUUUGUUGGUUUCUAGGAUUGACGUAAUGAUUAAUAGGGAUAGUUGGGGGCAUUAGUAUUCAAUUGUCAGAGGUGAAAUUCUUGGAUUUAUUGAAGACUAACUACUGCGAAAGCAUUUGCCAAGGAUGUUUUCAUUAAUCAAGAACGAAAGUUAGGGGAUCGAAGACGAUCAGAUACCGUCGUAGU
rnacentral:rRNA from 1 species